rnacentral:rRNA from 1 species
GACGAACGCUGGCGGCGUGCUUAACACAUGCAAGUCGAACGGAAAGGCCCUGCUUUUGUGGGGUGCUCGAGUGGCGAACGGGUGAGUAACACGUGAGUAACCUGCCCUUGACUUUGGGAUAACUUCAGGAAACUGGGGCUAAUACCGGAUAGGAGCUCCUGAUGCAUGGUGGGGGUUGGAAAGUUUCGGCGGUUGGGGAUGGACUCGCGGCUUAUCAGCUGGUUGGUGGGGUAGUGGCUUACCAAGGCUUUGACGGGUAGCCGGCCUGAGAGGGUGACCGGCCACAUUGGGACUGAGAUACGGCCCAGACUCCUACGGGAGGCAGCAGUGGGGAAUAUUGCACAAUGGGCGGAAGCCUGAUGCAGCAACGCCGCGUGCGGGAUGACGGCCUUCGGGUUGUAAACCGCUUUCGCCUGUGACGAAGCGUGAGUGACGGUAAUGGGUAAAGAAGCACCGGCUAACUACGUG